GGGUCAGUAGGUUGGUCGUGCCUCCGGUACGUACUGGUCUCACUGAUUCCUCCUUCCUGAAGAACCGUAAUGCCAUUAAUUUGGUGUUGCGGGGAAACAGGACUGUUACUUUGAAAAAAUUAGAGUGUUUAAAGCAAGCUAACGCUUGAAUACAUUAGCAUGGAAUAAUGAAAUAGGACGAUCGAUCCUAUUUUGUUGGUUUCUAGGAUUGACGUAAUGAUUAAUAGGGAAUUGGG
rnacentral:rRNA from 1 species